GCUGCUUCUUGUGAGCUUUUCCAGCAAACAUUUUGAAAUAUGCAACAAAAAAUGGCGGCAAACUCCAAGGGUUGAAACGUUUCGGCAAUCUCAAUCGUCAAAUGAGAGCAAAAACAAGCCCUAUUUUGGGAAAUUAGGGUUUUUGGAAUUCCCAGAAACCCCUUUCUUCCUCCACCUCUUGGUGUAGCAGUAGAGGGAUGAUAGCUGUCUCGUUGUAGAGUACCUGAUUACUGGAGCCAUGUCCACUCAGAAGGUAGAGAAACCUGCACACAGAGUAAUAUGUGGGUUUUUAAAGUGGGCUACUGGCGUUGUUUUGAGGGAUGUAUGGGGCCUACAUACAUGUAGACCAAUCCCUUUUUACCGGAAAGACUGUCUACUUUAUAAGCUGUGAUGACAGUUUACGAAAUGGACAAUCUCUCUGGAGCAAAUUUAUGGUUUCUAUUUCAGACUGAAUUUAAGUAAAAAUCUGAACUUGAGUAUGGGCGUUUAGCAUAGUUUAGAACACCAAAGACUUGCAGUUAUCACACUAAAAAUGGAAAGUAGCUAAUAGCAGAUUGUGUUUAACCUUUCAUUCAUAGUAUAUAUAUAUAUAUAUCUACUUUUGUAUAAAGGCUAUUCCCUGCAUAUUGUUUAAGCUACAUUCUAUUUUGUUCAUGGGACAA